UACAGAGGGUGCGAGCGUUGUUCGGAAUUAUUGGGCGUAAAGGGCGCGUAGGCGGUGCGGUAAGUCACCUGUGAAAUCUCCUGGCUCAACUGGGAGCUUGCAGGCGAAACUGCCGUGCUGGAGUGUGGGAGAGGUGCGUGGAAUUCCUGGUGUAGCGGUGAAAUGCGCAGAUAUCAGGAGGAACACCGGUGGCGAAGGCGGGACUCUGGGCCGAUACUGACGCUGAGGAGCGAAAGCGUGGGGAGCAAACAGG
rnacentral:rRNA from 1 species